AUUGAACGCUGGCGGCAGGCCUAACACAUGCAAGUCGAGCGGCAGCGGGACCUUCGGGUCGCCGGCGAGCGGCGGACGGGUGAGUAAUGCCUAGGAAUCUGCCUGUUAGUGGGGGAUAACGCGGGGAAACUCGCGCUAAUACCGCAUACGUCCUACGGGAGAAAGUGGGGGACCCUCGGGCCUCACGCUAACAGAUGAGCCUAGGUCGGAUUAGCUAGUUGGUGGGGUAAAGGCCCACCAAGGCGACGAUCCGUAACUGGUCUGAGAGGAUGAUCAGUCACACUGGAACUGAGACACGGUCCAGACUCCUACGGGAGGCAGCAGUGGGGAAUAUUGGACAAUGGGGGAAACCCUGAUGCAGCCAUGCCGCGUGUGUGAAGAAGGCCUUCGGGUUGUAAAGCACUUUCAGUGGGGAGGAAGGGUUGAUGUCUAAUACGCAUCAACAUUGACGUUACCCACAGAAGAAGCACCGGCUAACUCCGUGCCAGCCGCCGCUGUAACAC
rnacentral:rRNA from 1 species